rnacentral:rRNA from 1 species
UACGUAGGGUCCGAGCGUUGUCCGGAAUUACUGGGCGUAAAGAGCUCGUAGGUGGUUUGUCGCGUUGUUCGUGAAAACUCACAGCUUAACUGUGGGCGUGCGGGCGAUACGGGCAGACUGGAGUACUGCAGGGGAGACUGGAAUUCCUGGUGUAGCGGUGGAAUGCGCAGAUAUCAGGAGGAACACCGGUGGCGAAGGCGGAUCUCUGGGCCUUACCUGACGCUCAGGUGCGAAAGCUAGGGGAGCGAACAGG